rnacentral:lncRNA from 1 species
ACCUUGCUGACGGCCGGAGAAGAGGAAACCGAAGGGUUUUUCGGUCUUCCUCCGAUCUUUGAAGGUUUUUAGCGAGUUUUAAGGAUAGAUCGGAGUCCCCGGGGUUAAGACGGUUUAAAAAAGGGUCACUUUAGGAUUUUCGGCCACCGCGCGCGGUGGUCGACGAUAGUGACGGUGCCAGAGCUCUCACUGAAAUCCUC